UGUAGACUCCUGGCAAUCAGUCCAACUCACCACAUCUGUGCUUUCCCUCUGCCUCCUUUUAAAGACUCCUGCAGCCCAGCACUCGGUGCUAGAGCAUUGUCACCUCAUCUCUCCAUGCUGCUGAUCUCAGGUGUUUCCUGCGGAAGCUUGACCAAGACUUAAUCCGAGCAGAGAGAGUUUCGGAGAGAAACAGGAUCAGAAGCAGGCAGGUCAGAGAUGGUUGGCUUUCUUCUGUGCCCUUCUAUGCUUUUAUUUUGGUUCUUUGUUGAUAAACAGUAUGACUUAAUACUAACAAAGUUUGUGAUACAGUACGUAUGAAGGCAUGCGCAGUCUGUGAAAUGUAAAAGAAUAAUAAAAGAAAUCAAAGCAGGUGGCUGUGGUAAAGUUUAUUUAUCUUGUAUCUGUGGACAUUUUCAUUUAUUUCAUCUUUCUGAUGUUUGAUCACAUAUGCGGACAUCACUGCUCAACUACAGCAUUUAUAAUAUAAAAAAAGCAUUAUCAAACAGCUCUGUUAUAUGUAGCUGUUGUGAAAAAAAGCACUGGGCUUCUGGUCAUUCAAUA